UUUUGGUUUCAUCAGCCCUGCUUUCUCCCGCUCCGUGACUUUGCAUCAGUUGUCAUGAGGAUGAUUAAAUAAUUUAGCACUUAGCCCCCUGCUGUACUCCUUGGCCUGGAUCAUGACCACACCGAAGGAGUGCCCACCAGCAAGAGACCUGGAGACAUCCCCAAUUCCUGCAAGCAGAAUCUGGGAUGAACAGUCUGCAUGCCUCUCGCCACCUGUCCCAGGGAUUCCCUGUUCCACAAGACACUUGGGAUCUGCUUGUCAUGCAUCAUGCGUAACUAAUAGUGCAGAGGAAUUAAUACAGUUAAGUGAAACGUCCGUCAGUGGGAAGCCGGAGCAAGGGAAAAUUCUCCUUCCUUUCCCCUCCUCGACUGCCCUGGUUUCAUGUGGCCUCAUGGCAGAAGCCCGCCAGACUGCUACCUGGAUGCAACCAGCUAAAUAACCUGCCCUCAUAUUGAUUCUCCCUCCUCCCCUGCUUCUCCACACUUUUCCCUCACUCUUGCCUUCCUGGGAUUGGACCCCUCAUAAAUUUCAUAACACA
rnacentral:lncRNA from 1 species